rnacentral:rRNA from 1 species
AUUGAACGCUGGCGGCAGGCCUAACACAUGCAAGUCGAACGACUGGCGGUCGGGUGAGUUAUGUCUGGGCAUCUGCCUGCUGGAUGGGUAUAACUACUGGAAACUGUAACUGAUACCGCAUAACCUCGUUUGUUCCCAGAUGGGAUUAGCUAGUAGGUGGGGUAAAGGCUCACCAAGGCGACGAUCCCUAGCCGGUCUGAGAGGAUGACCAGCCACACUGGAACUGAGACACGGUCCAGACUCCUACGGGAGGCAGCAGUGGGGAAUAUUGCACAAUGGGCGCAAGCCUGAUGCAGCCAGGCCGCGUGGAUGAAGAAGGCCUUCGGGUUGUAAAGUACUUUCAGCGGGGAGGCGUUACCCGCAGAAGAAGCACCGGAUAACUCCGUGCCAGCAGCCGCGGUAAUAC